AUUGAACGCUCGCGGGAUGCUUUACACAUGCAAGUCGAACGGCAGCGCGGACUUCGGUCUGGCGGCGAGUGGCGAACGGGUGAGUAAUGUAUCGGAACGUGCCCAGUAGCGGGGGAUAACUACGCGAAAGCGUAGCUAAUACCGCAUACGCCCUACGGGGGAAAGCAGGGGAUCGUAAGACCUUGCACUAUUGGAGCGGCCGAUAUCGGAUUAGCUAGUUUGUGAGGUAACGGCUCACCAAGGCGACGAUCCGUAGCUGGUUUGAGAGGACGACCAGCCACACUGGGACUGAGACACGGCCCAGACUCCUACGGGAGGCAGCAGUGGGGAAUUUUGGACAAUGGGGGCAACCCUGAUCCAGCCAUCCCGCGUGUGCGAUGAAGGCCUUCGGGUUGUAAAGCACUUUUGGCAGGAAAGAAACGUCGCGGGCUAAUACCCCGUGGAACUGACGGUACCUGCAGAAUAAGCACCGGCUAACUACGUG
rnacentral:rRNA from 1 species